UCUGGAUCCUGCACAGAAAGAGGACACUAGGUAGCAACUAUGCCUGCUGUACCUGGCAAGAACGGGCUUGUUGAAGAGCCACAGAAGCUAACCCUGCUCUGCUCUGCGCUGCUCUGCUCUGAGGACCAGCACCUUCAUACCCCACUACCACCCUCCCUCCGUAGCCCUUGCUAACCUGGGGUUGCUGCUCUCACCACAUCCUGCACAGAGCCUCCCACACGUCAUUGUCCCUGUAAGCAAGGGAUCUUAGGCUGUCCUGCCUUGGGGGACUCCCACACUAGUGAGGUCAGAGGGCAGCUUGCCCAAGUUCAUUCCCUCCUACCAUUGGAGUCCCAGUCAGACUCAAGGCCUCCCACCACUGGCCCAGCAGAAAGUUGUGUGUGUGUUUGAGACCUGGUCUCUGUGUAGCCCUGGCUAUCCUGGAACUUGCUAUGUAGACCAGGCUGGCUUCGAAUUCAGAGAUCCACCCAUCCCUGUCUCCAGUGCUGGAAUGAAAAAUGAGCACCACCAUGCCCAGUAGAGUCUCCGCUCUCAUCUUGUCAAAUGUCCCUGAGAUCUCGAGCUGAAAUGAGGACAGUAUAAACUAAUUCUAAGCACUUGUCACAAAAGCAAGGGUGGUGGCAGUCAGAGGCUGAGUAACAGGGCGUGGGGCUGGCAGCAGGGUGCAGGGCCAGCAUCCUCGAGAAGUGCCUUUCCUGCAGGGUUGUGGCUCAGGUAGUCAUUCCCAAGAACUCAUUGGCUCUAGGCUUUGAGCCCCUGGCAGGCACUUAGAGGGGAGGAAAUGCCUGUGGCUAGCUCAGGCUGGGCCAAGGGAGUUUCCACCAUCCCUCCCAGUUCCAGCAGCAGUGAGAUCCCAGGGCCUCUGGCCACAUUGGGCCACAACAGCAGCUUCAUUCCUAGGCGACGGUCUGAGUCACCAUCUGUGGGCUCUGGCUCCUCACCAGCUGGGCUUGCAGCCUUAAGUUUGCCACAGUUUGGCCUCAGCUGAGUCUCCAUCACCACUUCGGCCAUUUUUCUCUGCUGUUUCCUUUCUUUAAGCAGAAAUGUGAUGCAAAUGGGUUCCAGGUCUGUGCCUGCUGUCACCCGCACACACUUCCAGGGCUGAUGUCAUGGGUUAGAUUCUGGUGGUGCCAGGUCAGAGGCCCCCCACACACUAUCACUUGUUGGCCACUGCAGGGCUUUGCAAAUAAAGUUUUGGUUUUUUACUGUCU
rnacentral:lncRNA from 1 species